rnacentral:lncRNA from 1 species
AACACGAUGCACAACCGCUAAGAAAGGAAAGCUUCAACAAGGUGAUACUAUACCAUCACUCUUCAAGUAAGGUAACAUCUUAAGGUACUUUAUUAUCACUUUUAUAAGAUUUUCCUUGGUUUUGGCGUUCACAUGAAUAAAAGAGACAAACAUGUAUGAUUUUACUCUAGAUUAACCAACCCAAUCGAUUCAAUAUGUUUAGUCCUUCCACCUUUGUGAUCCUACACUCCUAAUCAUACAAGCUAAAAUGUUGCACACUCAAUCUUUGGAAGAUAUAAACAAAACAUAAGUAUAGAUAGAUUAUCUUUCCAUUAGGUUGAGCGAUCUGAUCUGACAAAUGUUUUAAAUGCUAUACUCAUGAUCUUAUUAUCCAUCAACUUUGUCUUGUUCACUAUGCUUAAGGUUAGAGAAGAACAAAUACACUUUUGGUUCUGUUGGUGUUUUCCACCAACAGGGCCCAUGCACUUGAUCUCUGCCUUGUCUCUAUGAGCAGGUACACUUCGAGCAAAAUAUGAAGGACUUUUACAACUCCCAGACUCCACCAAGUGAAGAACCUAGAUCUACGAGCACAAACACACUGGAGAUACUGGACACUCAGGCAAUCACUGCCCUGAGAUGCUUAAGGACGUAACUACUGGAGUAACCCCGUUGUGGAAGUAAUUACUGACCUUCUGCCGGUCAAGAGAGACAAACCAGGACGCCCCGUCAUCCCGAUCUCCAUCGGCAUGGUGGACUUCCUAGAAGCACUCUAUGACUUUUGCUCCAGCGUCAACAUUAUGGCCAGGCUUGCAGAUCGUACGCUAAGUUUCCCAAAGAGAAUAGUGAAGAACCUCUGCGUCCGAGUUGGUACCUUGUACGCCCCAGCAGACUUUGUAGUGAUAGAAACUGGUACUGAUGAGAAGGCACCCAUCAUCAUACGGAGGCCAUUCCUGAACACCUCGGGAGCUCUCAUCUACGCUAGUGCUGCCAAGAUCAGUUUCUACAUCAAGGGGAGGAAGGAGACGUUUUCCUUCGAGAACAAGAUUACACAAAUCUCAGAGCAAUCUAGACAUGAACCAAGGAAGAGGACCAACAGGAGGGACAGGAACAAGCAAAUGUGGACCAAGUCAACUAAGAUGGUCACUGCAGUUCAAGGAGGUCAAGAUUGUCGAUUUAAAUCACCGUUCCUGACCAAAAAGGACGAUUCAGAUAUCCCAAGCAUCUAGUGCUCCAUUAAUGGAUACAACUUCCAGAAGAUGCUUUGCAACACUGGAUGGCAGAUCAAACAUUCCGAAAGAUUGAAGGUUAUUAACAUGGGAGAAGACGAGCACGAUCCACCCAUCAUCCUUGGAAGACCGUUCCUCAGCACCGUUAAAGCAAUCAUCUACAUUGGAACUCGAGAAGUCCACAUGCAUUUCCCCUCUGAGAAGGUACGCUGCUAUUUUACUGACCCUAACUAUAUAGUUGAAGACUCUAAGCAGGUCAGGACAAGAAGAAGACAACGCAACCGCAACCAGAGGAGGCAAAUCAUCAAGGACGGAUGGGCAGACUAUGAAGAAGAAGUGGUAAGACCUGAAGACAUACAGCUUGAACAGAACUGUCCUAAGGAGACCAUAGCACCGAGUCAGGUGUGUAGAGAGAAGAUAGUUAUAUAUGAAGAGCAGGCGCCGCCGGAACCACCGACUACGCCAUUCAGCGAAUCCCAGGACGACUCAGAAAACGGAGAGUCCCGUUCGGAGGACUUAAAAGCACCGAACGCCUUGCCAAGAGGUAAACUUGGUAGUUAUCUUUUUCCUUUCAACUAUUUAAAAUAGUUUGCUUAGUUAAUCAGGUUCAUAACAUCUUGAAAAGAAAAUAAAAAUGUUAAAAAUAGUAAGCCCCAUGUGAGUAUGCUCAUGGCAUAAAACCCAUAAGUACAUUCACUGUGGUGGCAUAAAAAUAAAAUAAAUAUAUUCCUAUCCUAUAAAAAUGAAAAUAUAAAAAUAAAUUUAUGAUCCUACCAAAGAGUGUAACAUUUAUUGAGGAAGCUCAACAUGAUAAAGGCUAGAUAUUUAUGCUAACACCUAAUCAGUUUCAUAAAGCUUUGUUGUCUAUUUGAGCUCCACAGAAUUCAAGGAUCAAAGAAGACUAGCAGACGGAGGACAUCCUAAUCACUGUCAGGGUGCUGCCGACAUUCAAACACACCUCCGCCACCUGCUAGCUACAUCAGAAGAAAUUGCGUCAAAUCCAGUUUGGGGGAGAGCACCUCCAUUUAUCCAGCUAAGUGUUCUACUCAUGUUUAUACUUUACUCUAAUAAUAAAAAGAUGCAUAAUCAUAUAAACCCAAAUAAAGAUUUUGUGCUUAUAUAUAUAUCUUUGCUUAGUUUGCUAAAUAAAUAAAUAAAUAAAGUUUGCUAUGAACCCUCAUGAUAAGCUCUCACAUGGAAAUGAUGAGUAGUUGCUCUGCCAUGACUAGUUCUCAAAAUUGAAAUCUCCUCCUAAGUUUAGGCCUGACUGUUAUUAAGUAAGUUUUGCUCUAAACCUGAACUUGUGGGGAGAGUACUUGAUCUGAAAUCUAAGUCGUUAACGGAUAUGAUAUGGGAAGGUUGAGCUGCUGUUUAUCUAUUUCUAUAGAUGCUAGAAUUCUGGAGAAUUUUAUCUUUGAAAAUCUUUAAAAUGUUGCAUGAUGAGUUCCUGUAUGAUGAGAGUUUAAAUUCCUACCACAGCCAUAUAUACAUGCUUAUUAGAUUAUGAACCACAUAUCUACUUUACUGCUUAUGAGCAUUGAGUGUGGUCAAGCUGUGUAGACCCUUAGGAGCUUGUCAUGUGGUUAAAUCAAGAUUCACAUGCACGUUCACUCACAUGUGUUGCUUCUACUCCGGAAGUACGCAUCCACAUAUAUCCACUCACUUCCAUCUCCAGAGCCACCCAAAAUUAUUCUACUCCUAAUUCGGGAGAGAAUAGCCAAAAAUAUUUCUGUUUCUCCCCUGCGAAAUAAAUGCUCAAGAUAUCUUGUUACUACCACUUGCUAUAUUAUUUCAGGAGAUGAGUGCACUAAAAAAAGAGAAAAAAAGAGAAAGAAUACGAGGAAAUAAAAAGGGGCAAGUGCCCGGAACCUCGAAGAAAAGAAAAAGUGAGACGAGAGGUAAAAAUGGACAAGUGUCCGACAGUAGAAUUAGGGGUACAAGAUACCCACCUGAGAGAAACGAAAAAGAAAAUAUAGAGCAUCUCAUUCUCCUUAAAAAGUUUCAAAAGAGCAAGAAAGGUAUGUAUCCCCUCAAAAGAGUACAAGUAGAAUUAGACUUUCACCAUUGUUAUCACCAUCAUCACCAUACACCAUUCAUUCGCCACACAUGCACAUCUUGAUUUGAUUUAUUGACUUGUUCUUCUAGAUCCAUGGUUUGACUAUGCAAUAAAUGUCUUGUAAGUACGUAUUAGCUGUCUCCCACCUAUGAGCUCUAGAUAUCAAAACCUUAUUAGAGUAGGGUGAGAGAGAAGACAAUGCCAUUAUGCCUCAUACCAAAAAUACCACAUACUUUGAGAGAAGGCAUACACCAUUACUGCCUUGGUAAGGUUCCAGAAAUAUCACAAAAGAGAGACUAGAGAGAGUCAUACAAGGAAUCUCUGAGUUUUAUUUGAAAAUCUACAAAAACUCCAGAGCUAUAGUUAAUCGAAGAACAAGAGACAUGGCGCUUGACUAGACCGUUCUAUCUUUUAACUGGUCAAGACACAGGUGACGGUUGCAAGCCCCAUGGUAGAACGUAAAAUGAGUAAGAUUAAAUCUUAACAGUUUACCCUAACCUAGAGAUGAGAUCUUGUUUGAACGCAUGUGUACCUUUAAGGCAUGAAACCACUUCAGAAACACUUGAGUUCAUCUUUGCUCAGGGACGAGCAAAGGUUAAGCUUGGGGGAGCUUGUUGACGGUCCUUAAUGCUCACAUUUAACCAUCAACUAAUCAUAGAAAAGGAUCUAAAUGCAACCAACACCCAGACUUAGGGUUUUAUCUGACAGAAUUCUACGAGUUUUGGUAUUUGUCUAUUUCUGCAGGGGGUUAUCAGGAAAUACGGAAGAAAGGCCCACACGUCGGGUUUACAUAGAGAUAUUAACGUGCCGCACAAUUUUCUAUCAUCUAGAAGACUCCGGAAGCCACGGGACCGAAGCGGAGGCCGAGAGGACUCACGGACAGGGCACCCGCCCUCCUUCCCUGGGCGCCCGCCCUCAGCCAGAGUCCAAUUAGGACUCUCUUUCGGGAUAUUGCUCCACCGACCUAAAGGAUCAAGGAUAACCGUUCAAUCAAUGUCGGUUUGAUCCAACGGCCCAGAUUCACUUGAAGGGACUAUAAAACCAAACCCCCCUGGCACCUGGAGAUCAUACCUCUUCUACAGAAUCAAAGUUAGGCUAUCAAUUCUUCAUCCAAGUAGAGAGGAUCCCUCUAGUUCUUCUAGUUCUACCUCUAGUUCAUCUAGAUCUAGUUCUAGUUCAUCUAGUUCUAGUUCUAGUUCCUCUAGUUCUAGUUUCCUAGCCCCCUUCUCAUCUCUUUCUGUGGUUAGUGCUCUGAUGUCCCGAUAUAGAUAAUCUUGAAGUAAUUCUUGAUUCUUAGAUCAACUAGAGAACUCUCAGGAAACUUCCUCUCUUCCCGCCAAAAAUAAUUAUAUAGUUAUCCUUGGGCGAUCUUGGAUCUUAAUUAGUACACUCACGUUCCCUGUGGAAAAUCGAUACUCUGGAAUACAUCCGGGUGAAAGCUACAUCGGUAUCCGUGUGCUUGCGGAUUUUUCUGUUUGCGUUUAAAAUACCCAACAGGUACUGAUGAUUAGAAUUGCCAAAUUGGCCUUCCUAACCAUCCUUACUUACGAUAUGCAAAGCUGUGGCCCGGCGCCGUGUGGGUGCACAAGGAUUACAAUCUUAAGUAAAGGUACUUAGGUACGCCAAUCGAUAGCUCAGUUAUAGGAAUAAAUUACUCUACAAGCGCACAGAACUAUAUUUGUAGCAUUUCAACCCGUGAGUAUUCAGGGGUGUCGUAUUUAUAAUUUCUUGUAGGAAGGCAUUGUGAACGCAUCUAGCUUUGGUUAUAAACAUGAUUACUUAUUGAAAUGCAUGGUAGACAUAGUAUAAACAGGGGUAAGUAUGUAGUUGAUUUGAUAGCGGACACACAUCAAAGCAACCUCAAGGAAUAAAGGGAAAACAAAGAAUAAAAGAACAACUAUGCGAGCAGGCAUGGUCGUAUACAAGUUAUAUAACAGAUCUGUUAGCAGGUCAUCUAGCUAAUAAGAACAAGUUAGAGCUAAGUCUGAGAUACUGGGGGGAGAUCUCCAUAGCUGGUCUGCCAGCAAAUAGAGACUUUACAUGACUCGUACCGAAUGUCCGAACGUGGGGGAAUAAGAAGGAUGACAGGGCUAUCACCAACCUACCACCUACUCCUCUGCCCGUGGGAUACCUGCAUAUCCUCGGGUCUCCGCAUACCCGAGCACCAUGCCCGUGUAUUUGGAAACACCCCCUAGCCUCCUGGGACCCCAACCCUUCGGAUUGACAGGCUCGGCUAAGGGUGACCAUUACAGCCCAGAGAACCAUUAUCUCAUCCCUAGUUCUUCCUCUAUUCAUAUUAACUUGAUGAACGAUGAAGAACUGUGAUGAACAUAUCAGGAACAUAGAGCUAGAACUAUGAACUAGCUCAUAAAGUAUGAUCAUGAUAUGAACAAGACUAUACUCUAGAUCAAAAGCAUAACUGUAUAAAGAAUAUAAGAACUUGCUCAUGGAGGAAGGCAUAAUUGUAUUCAUACCAAGACACUCUUGAUCCUCCAAGGAGACAAACUCUCCUUGGUAGCUUUGCCUUGCUCUACUACUAGUACUAAACUAAAGAGAACAAGUGUAGAAUGUGAGGUGUGUUGCUCCAAAUGAUAGUGUGUGUUACAAAUGAGAGGGGAGCCAUCUAUUUAUAGCUCAACUAAGAUGGUUUGCGGGAUCUAAAUAUAGUAGUAGGUGAAACUGUCCUAUGCAUGCCCCAUGCAACCGCCAGAAGAAGGUGGGGCCGGGGAACUGCCACCAGGGUUGCGCCCGCAACUUGGGUGGGCCCCCCUAGCUACCACCUUCGCGUGGUCGGUUGUGCUCUAGGCCCUGAUCCUCCUCGUGGUUACGGAUGGGUCCAGUUCAUCUUUUGUGGGCUUUUCUCUAUUGGAGUUGGUUUGCGUCUUUUGUAAAUAUGAAUUCUUGCAUUGCACAUUUCUUGUAUCUUUUGCACUUUUCCACGUGUCAUACCUGAAAAUAGCAUAUAUACCAAAACUCGUGGAAAGAUUAGAUCAAAGCCCUAUUUUUUAUUUAUUUUUAUUUAUAAAAAGAUAUUUAUUUUUAUAUAAUAAGCGUAGCCAACAGUCACCAUAGUUUCUUUGAGUCUUCAAUAAGUGUUCAAAGGUGGCUUUUGAGUUGUAGCACCUCUCUAACUUGUUGCUCAAAUUCUUCACUUCAUUUUGAGCUCAUUGUUCUCCUUCAAAAGGUUAGUCUCAUAGGACAUAGAAUUAGAACAAGUAUUUAUAUAUGAAGAACAUGGCAUAGAUAGUAAAUCAUCACAAGAGGUGGGCACAUGCUUCUUGUCUACAUCACAUGGGUUAGCAACAAUAUAUGAUUGAUCUUUUGACCCAAAUGAUGUGCUCUCACUAGUUUUAAUUUCUUCAUUUGAAAUCUUCUUAGUGAGCAAAGCAUGGUCUUGUACCAAGAUAUCAUGAGCAACAUAAAGUUCCCCAUGAGUCAAUUUUAGCUCCUCUUGUGAACAAGUAGUAACAUAAAGUAGAUGCUUUUAUUGUUCAUAUGUGGUCUUUCGAAAUGAGUUUUCUUUUUUCCAAUUUACUUGUUUUUGCCAACUCAUUUCUUAAAGCUUUUGAAAGUCUACAUACAAGCUCAAAAUUUGGAUCAUCACAAUGAACAAUCACACCACCAAUAAAUACCUUAGGGUCACCAUGUGACAUGAAGCAAUGUGGUGAUGUAGUGGGUAAGCUUGUAGAAGUAUCACUCUCAUAGCCAUCAUCUUCACUAUCAAGUAUGCAUGGAGUAGCAUCAUCAUUUGCAUCACUUGUAGCAUCAUCAUCGGAGAUCACCCCAUAUAUCUUAUUGAGAUAACUCCAAAUCUCAUGAGUGGAUGUCAUAGCCAUGAUCUCACCAAAUAUGUUAUCUUUUAUGGAUGAAUAGAAGAUGUUACUAGCUUAGCAAUUGAGAUGUAGACAUUUCUUUUGCACUUGAGUUACAACAUUUUUAUCAAUUGCACAAGAAAAGCCUACAUCUACGAUCCACCACAUUUGAGGAGAAAUAAACUUAAAAUUGCAUAUCAUCCCAUUUCUCCACUGUGCAAAGGUGUGUGAUGACGACAUCGCCAUGCUGGACAUGUUGACACCAGCGUCUUUUCCAAGUUGCAAUUCAUCUCCAACUCUGCUACCACGUCAAUCUCGGAUUCAGCAGACACAUCGUUAGUGUUCUGAUCAUAACUUCUUCAUACGAAAUCAAAAUGGGGUGAUCUUGGACUUGUUGGAAAGGGGACGACGACACUGUCGUUUUGGAUCUAGUUCCAGCUCCAGAUCGUUCAUGGAUUAAUCAGUAUGACCAUGACAAGGUGCCAUGUCAACUUGUCCAUGUAUCGAGUUCGAGCCUUAAGCCCAAGUUGUGGGUGCCUCCCCUAGGUCGCCUCCAACCUUAGGUCAUCUCUAUUUUAUAUUCCACGCAGUCGCCGCUGUUUAGACUGGGGUUUUGAUUAGAUUUAGUUUUCCAUCGAGAAACUGAAUCGUUCAUUGUAACUAUGGUGACAAAUCCUUUUACAGUGAUCUAGGGCCCCCAUUCUUGAUCUCCUCCAAUGUGUUGAUUAGUCCUUUGGAACCGAGUUCUUGAACCCUCUUCUAAUUGUGUCAUUCAUAUUUGCAAUUUUCGAUUGUGUGUUUUUUAUAUUCUUGCUUGUGUUCUUCGAUUCGCUUGCAGGAACAACCUUCUUGCCGAGGUCAAUCAAGAUGUGCUUGGUUGAUAACUAAUGGAGCAGUGGUGUAACGGUUGCAGGGUUCGAAUCAUUCUAAUUUGAAGCCGGAUUGCCAACGUCGAGUUCUCCACAAUUGAACUUACCGGUUACCUCUCAGAAGAUCGGGUCUGAAUCUUAUCAAUUGGUAUCAGAUAUUUCAGGUUUACUGUGAGAUAUAAUCACGUUUGCCCUAGAUUCAUAUUUGUUCAUUACCUACAGUCCACAAAAAGCCCAAAAAAUAUUUCAAUUUCCGUUGUCCUAUCACCUGUUGUGUCGUGCAAUUUUUUUUUAGAUUUGCUUUGUUGAGUUUGUGUCCGUAGUUGAGUCAAGUUGCUGGCUUAGAUUGUGUCCGUCAUUGUAGUUCAAUUGCACCAUUGCUGUUUCUUUAUUUUCUGCUGCUAUCCCAUCCACAUUCCCAAACAACAAGUCGAAGCCACCACAUUACUCGACUUGCCCCCGCUAGCUGCCUUGUGUGAUCUCUCGCCGCCGCGCUAACCCUAGAUAGGUUGCCAACCGCUAUUAUUAUGUCUACUUCACAGCCCUCCUUACAUCAUCAGACGAAUACCUAUUGUUGUUAAUCAUAGGGAAGAUUCAUCCUGUGAUCGGUGUUAGAGUUUAGGGAUGCUUCACCCAAACUGCCGCCGCCGCCGUGUUGUGCCUUUCGAAAACCAUAACUUGAGAUAUCUGCAUUCGAAUAUUGCUAAUCCUUGCUACUUAUAUUGUGCCUGUCCAAAGCUCCACAUAUACUUCCAUCAGCACAGGUUCAUCUUGCAACUGUUUACCCAUGCUCAACAAUAGAUUGCUUUGUUAAUUUGGUUUAGCUCUUGUUUGGAUUUGGUAAGAACACUUGUAAGAUGGUGGUAAGCCGCUUAUAAUUUUGCAUUCCACUUUCACCACAACCACCACUUGGUUCCUUUUAGUUGAUAGGGAUAAUACUUUGUUGUUCUUUUUCCCUAUUUUCUAAUCAUGGCAGGACCUCCAACGGAUUUCAAUAAUUGUGUGUCCAAGGGUGAACUUACAUCCUUCAUCACUAAACAGCACAAUCUUAUGAACAAACUGACGCACAAUGUAAACAAUCUGGUCACCCGCAUUGAACAGAUUGAGCAACGCCCUCAAUCUCAUCGUGGUGAUGAUGAAGAUGUCAAUGGAGAUCUAUUUGAUCAUGAAGAUGUGGAUGAUGAUGGUGAUGCACGCAACUGUCGCCACUACAACUUCAAACGUCGCAGUAUGGGAGGUAAUAAUCAUGGUAAUAAUGAUCCUUUUGCUAAAAUUAAAGUUAGCCUACCUCCAUUUGUUGGUAAUGUUGAUCCUAAAGUAUACUUAGUGUUAGGUAUUCUUAACAUCAUUAAAAAAAGUAUACUUAGUUUUCUAAUUCUGAUAACGGUGCCAAAAAUGCCAAACCUAUCCCUCAUACCACUUAAGCCAAGUUGUCAUCCCCGGCAUGACAUGAGAGACGUGGUAUUGAAAUAUGCAAUUGCUCUUCUAAAUAAAUAAUGAAUGGGAUCUGCAAGAGCACAGAUUAAUAUCGAUGUAGCAUUUUAACCGGGAAGUGAUUAGCAAUCAUCAAUAUUGAUUACAGAAUGGAAUAUGAGAUUGAGUAUCUAUCAUUGCAUGUAUAAUUGAGAACAUUUAUCCUCUUUCAUACAGGGGUAAGUGUCACAUAAAGGAUAUAUAAAGUAAUGAAUAGUGACAAAGAUAAUUAGUCUGAUCAGCACAACUUAGCCACAUAAUAAAUAUGAUAAGCACCUCAACUACAAGAAUAUUUCCUAUGUUAUUCUCAACUAUAUAGUCUAGCAUUAUCAUAGUUUGUGGAAGUAUACUUAGCAAUCAUUGCGAGACAAGACUAUGCCCAUGCAUAGUGAUAUUAGCAAGGUAAAUGAGAAACAUAGCAAUCACUGCCCUGUAAUAAUGUUGCUCUGCCAGCCCAAUACACGAGAGGGGGACUAUAUAAGAAUCAAUGAAGCCAUCACUAUCACGAACUACCCCACGAUCUGGCAUAUUGGGUACAAUCGUAGAUAAAUACGGUAUAAGCACCACGCCUACACAAUAUCUAUCAUUUACCCAUGGAUCCGAUGGAUAAACGCUAUACGAUCCUAAACAUGUCUAUAGAUCCAAUCUAACUAAGCCAAGUAUAUAACUAUGAUAAACUAAGAACAAUAUAAUCUUGAAUAUAAACAAGUAGAGCAAAGUCAUAAGCAAUAUAUUGAAGUAGAACAAAGUCAUAUUCAUAUUAUUGAACAACAAAGAUGAUUAGAAGAACAAUUAGAAGCACAAUUAGAGAAUUACCAAGAAUCCUCUUGACAGAUCCGGAAACCAAUCGAAGAUUGACUCCUUCUAGUUCUAAUCCUAUGUAGCUAUGCUAAUCUAGAUGUCUAAUUGAUGUGGUGGCUCUAAUCUUGAUCAGAGGCUUCUUCUCCCUUGAGGAAUAAUGAAUUAGGGUUGAGAGGCUCUCUCCUCCAGGGGCCAGGGGGUCUGGUUUUAUAGUCCCUUCAAGUGAAUAUGGGCCGUUGGAUCAAACCGACAUAGAUUGAACGGUUAUCCUUGAUCCUUUAGGUCGGUGGAGAUCUUUCCCGAAAGAGAGUCCUGAUUGGACUCCAACAGGGGGCGGGCACCCAGGUCAACUAGGCGGGCGCCCAGUGCCUGGCCCCGUUCGGCCUCCGCUUCCUUCCCGUGGCUUCUGGAGUCUUCUAGAUGUAAGAUAAUUGCGCGGCACGUUGAUAUCUCUAUGUAAUCCUGACGUGUGGGCCUUUCUUCCGUAUUUCCUGAUAACCCUCUGUAGAAAUAGACAAACACCAAAACUCAUGGAAUUCUAUCAGAUAAAACCCUAAGUCUGGAUGUUGAUUUCAUUUGGAUCAUUUUCUUUGUUUAUUUGACAAUUAAAUUUGACACUUAAGGACCAUCAACAAACUCCCCCAAGCUUACCUCUUGCUCGUCCCUGAGCAAGGAUAGACUCAGUGAUGGAUCAGAAGUUGUUGCAAUGCCGUUAAAAAUUGAUGGUACACAUGCUUUUAAAUAAAAUCUUAUCUCUGAGUUAGAGUAAACUAUCAAGACUUAAAACUUACUUAAUUUACCUUUCACCAUGGGACUUGUAACCGUCACUUCUGUCUUGAGUAGUUAAAAGAUAGAACAGUCUAGUCAAGUGCCAUGUCUCUUAUUCUUGAUCAGCUAUAGUUCUGGAGUUUUUGUAGAUUUUCAAAUAAAACUCAGAGAUUCCUUGUAUGAUUCUCUCAUAUCCCUCUUUUGUGGUAUUUCUGGAUCCUUACCAAGGCAGUGAUGGUAUAUGCCUUCUCUCAAGAUAUGUAGUAUUUGUGGUAUAAGGCAUAGUGACAUUGCCUUCUCUCUCAUCCUACUCUAAUAAUGCUUUAAUAUAUGGAGCUCAUAGGUGGGAGAUAAAGUAUACAUACUCAAAAGACAUUUAUUGUAUAGUCAAACCAUGGAUCCAAAGAAACAAAUCAAUAAGUCAAAUCAAGAUGUGCAUGUGUGGCAAAUGAAUGGUGUAUGGUGAUGAUGGUGAUAACAAUGGUGAAAGUCUAAUUCUACUUUUGCUCUUUUGAUGGGAUACAUACCUUUCUUGCUUUUUGAAACUUUAUGAGGAGAAUGAGAUGCUCUAUAUUUUCUUUUUCUUUCCUCUCAGGUGGAUAUCUUGUACCCCUAAUUCUACUAUCGGACACUUGUCCAUUUUUACCUCUCGUCUCACUUUUACUUUUCUUUCGAGGUUCCGGGCACUGGCCCCUUUUUAUUUCCUCAUAUUUCUUUUUCUUUUCUUCUUUCUUUUAGAGCACUCAUCUCUUGAGAUAAUAUACCAAGUGGUAGUAACAAGAUAACUUAAGCAUUUAUUUCAUAGGGGAAAAACAGAAAUAUUUUUGGCUAUUCUCUCCCGGAUUAGGAGUAGAAUAUUUUUAGGUGAUUCUGGAAAUGGAAAUGAGUGGAUAUAUGUGGAUGGUACUUCCGGAGUGGAAGCAGCAUAUGUGAGUGAACGUGCAAGUGAAUCUUGAUUUAACCACAUGACAAGCUCCUAAGGGUCUACACAGCUUAACCACACUCAAUGCUCAUAAGUAGUAAAAAGUAAAUGUGUGGCUCAAAGUCUAGCAAGCAUGUAUAUAUGGCUGUGGUACGAAUUUAAACUCUCAUCAUACAGGAACUCAUCAUGCAAUAUUUUAGAGAUUUUUCAAAGAUAAAAUUCUCUAGAAUUCUAGCAUCUCUAGGAACCGAUAAAAAGCAGCUCAACCUUCCCAUAUCAUAUCCGUUAACAACUUAGACUUCAGAUCAAGUUUUCUUCCCACAAGUUUAGGUUUAGAGCAAGCUUUAAAUUAUAACAGUUAUGUCUAAACUUGAGAGAGAACUCAAAUUUAAAAAUUAGACAGAGCAACUAUUCAUCAUACCCAUGCUAGAGUUUUAUUAUUAAGAUUUAGAUUAGCAUAGCCACUUUACUUAUUUAUUAAGCAUACUAAGUAAAAGAUAUAUAUAUAUAUAAGCAUAAAAUGUUUAUUUGGUUUUCCAUAGUUAUUUAUAUUUAUAUUUUAAUAUAGUAUAAGUACAAAAAUAGAUAGAUAGAAAUACUUAUCGGGAUAAAUGGGGGUGCUCUCCCCCAAGCUGAAUUUUGACGUAAUUUCCCUUGAUGUAGCUAGCAGGUGGCAGAGGUGUAUUUGAAAGUCAGCAGCAUUCUGACAGCUAUUAGAAUGUCCUCCGUCUGCUAGUCUUCUUGAUUCUUAAAUUCUGUGGAGCUCAAAUAGACAACAAAGCUUGUGGAACUGAUUAAGUGUUAGCAUAAAUAUCUAGCCUUUAUCAUGUUGAGCCUCCUCAAUAAAUGUUACUCCCUAUUUUUAUAUUUUUAUUUUAUAAAACAGAAAAAGAAAUAUUUAUUUUAUUUUUAUGCCACCACAGUGAAUGUACUUAUGGGUUUCAUGCCACUCGUAUACUCACAUGGGGCUUACUGUUUUUUAACAUUUUUAUUUUCUUUUUAGGAUAGUAUGAAUAUGAUUAACUAAGCAAACUAUUUUUAAAUAAUUGAAAGGGAAAGGAUAACUACCAAGUUUGCCUCUUGGCAAGGCGUUCGGUGUUUUUAAGUCCUCCGAACGGGACUCUCCGUCUUCUAGUUUUCCUGGGAUUCGUUGGUUGGCGUAGUCGGUACUUCCGGCAGUGCCUCCUCUUCAUAUAUAAUAAUCUUCUCUUUCCACACCUGACUCGGUGCUACGGUCUCCUCUAGAUAAUUCUGUUUAAACUGUACGUCUUCUGACCUUACAACUUCUCCUUCAUAGUCUGCCCAUCCGUCCUUGAUGAUUUCCCUCCUCUGGUUACGGUUGCGUCGUUUUCUAACCUGCUUAGAUUCUUCAAAGAUGUAGUUAGGGUCAGUAAAAUAAUGGCGUACCUUCUCUGAGGGGAAGUGCAUAUGGACUUCUCUAGUUCCAAUGUAGAUGAUUGCUUUAAUGGUGCUGAGGAAAGAUCUCCCAAGGAUGAUGGGUGGAUCGUAUUCAUCUUCUUCCAUGUCAAUAACCUAAAAGUCUGUGUAGACAAAAUGAUCGUCUAUUUUGACUGGGACAUCAGUUACUGUUCCUUUAACUUCUCGAAAUGUCUGAUCUGCCAUCUGGAGCUGAAUGUAUGUUGGUUUUAGGGGCAUGGUUCCGAACAAGAGCCGAUAGAUGACUACGGCCAUUAUGUUGACGUCCGAUCCGGUGUCGCACGUCGUCUUGUAGAAGUUGUACCCAUUUAUGGAGCAAUAGAUGCUUGGCAUUCCUGGGUCAUCCUUCUUGGUCAAAAAUAGUGACUUAAGUUGAUGAUCUUGACCUCCAUGAUCUGUAGUGACCAUCUUAGCUGACUCGGUCAACAUUUGCUUGUUCCUGUUCCUCCUGUUGGUCCUCUUCCUUGAUUCACGUCUGGAGUUAUCUAGAAUUUGUGUAGUCUUGAUCUUGAAGAAAAAUGUCUCCUUCCUCCCUUUGAUGUAGAAACUGAUCUUGGCAGCACUAGCGUAGAUGACAGCUCCCGAGGUGUUUAAGAAUGGCCUCCCUAAGAUGAUGGGUGCCCUCUCAUCAUUACCGGUCUCUAUCACCAUGAAGUCUGCUGGGGCGUACAAGGUACCAACUUGGACACAGGUUCUUCAAUAUUCCUUUUGGGAAACUUAUCGUCUGAUCUGCAAACAGCAAACACAUGGUUGUUUCUGAUAAAGGAUAUGUAAAGAACUUUUCAUAGAGUACCCUGGGUAUAAUGUUGACGCUAGAGCCAAAGUCGCAGAGUGCUUCUGGGACGUCCACCAUGCCGAUGGAGAUCGGGAUGACGGGGCGUCCUGGAUCGCCUCUCUUGACCGGCAGAAGGUCAGUAGUGAAUUCAGUGACGGGGUUACUCCAAUUAUUACCUGCAUCAAACAUGUCUACAAGAUUUGCAGAUUCUAAUCCUUCCGGUUGUGAUGGUAUACCGGGGUUAGUAGCAGGAACAGUAGCAGCUAUUUGAUUUAACUGAGAUUCAAUCAUUUUAUUAAAGCUAAUUUGAUUCUUGAUGGCACUAGAGAAAUUAUCCAUUCUAUUAUUUAUAUUUCUAGCAUUUUAUCAUUAGAUGCCAAUUUCUUAGAUAGGUUAUCCAUUAGCUUUCCUUGAUUAGACACUAACUCUCUCAAAGGUGGAAAAUUAUUAUUAUUGUUGUAAGAAUUGUUACCUUGAUAAUUACCUGAGUAGUUAGGCCUCUGUUGAUUCCAACCCUGAUUUUGUUGAGGACGGUUGUAGUAGUAGUAGUAGUUGUUGUUGAUGUAGUUCACAUCCUCAAGCAUCUCAGGGCAGUGAUUGCCUGAGUGUCCAGUAUCUCCACACUCCUCACAAGUCAUAUGAGAGUCGUAGAUGUGCAUAAAUUCUUUCUUAUCUCCAGCUCUAUCAUCGAGCUUCUUCAUGAGCAGGUCUAGCUUUGCAGACAACAUGUCUACCUCCUUUAGCUGAUGCAUACUGUUGACGGUCCUUAAGUACCAAAUAUAAUCAUCAAAUAAAUAAAGAAAAGGAUCCAAAUGUAACCAACACCUAGAAUUAGGGUUUUAUCUGACAGAAUUCCACAAGUUUUGGUGUUUGUCUAUUUCUGCAGGGGGUUAUUAGGAAAUAAGGAAGAAAGGCCCACACAUCGGGAUUACAUAGAGAUAUCAAUGCACCGCGCAAUUUUCUACUAUCUAGAAGACUCCAGAAGCCACGGGGAGAAAGCAGAGGCCGAAAGGGACCAGGCCCAGGGCGCCCGCCCUCCUUCCCUAGGCGCCCGCCCUGUGCUGGACUCCGUUCGGGACUCUCUUCGCACACGAUGUUCCACUGACCUAAAGGAUCAAGGAUAACGUAGUACCACAUCGCCUACCGACCCAAAAACGCAUAGAGGAGGAGGACUAUAUAAGGAGACCCCCCUGGCCCCUGGAGAAGACAAGAAGUUAUCAUAGAGAUUGAGGGGUGCCUUCGAUGGAAAACCUCUUCUCUAAAUAAUAUUUCUUUUUAGGCUUAGCAACCAAUGUAAGUAGAAAUAGAUCUUCUAGUUUCUACUAGAUUGAGAGAGAUAGAGUGGAGGUGUAGAUCGGAGGAAGGCCGGCCUGUCGGUGUCUACUCCGAGUUGUACCUGCGGGAUCAAGUCUUCUAACCCGAGGCUUGCUUCUAAGAUUCUUCAGUAAUUCGACUUCUAAUUCUAGUAAGUUCUUGUUUUAUUGUUCUUUGGUUUAUGAGUUGACUUUAAUCCUCUUCCGGUUGAGUAUUAGAGUAAUCAUUGCUAGCGUAAACGUGGUGUUUAGGCUAGGGUACUCAUAGAUAUCCCCUGACUAGCUGGACGGUGGUAGUAGCGAGGAACGUGACAUUUCCGAGUUACCUUUGUAUCCCAUAUCUUGUUAGCAGGACGGGUAGGGUUUAUAGGUGCGGGUCAAACAUCCUUUGUGGUGUCUAGAUUUCGUAAUCUUCCCCAAUAGAACAAUAGAUCAUCCUUACCAAGGUUAGAACGAGACUACGGUUGCAGUCUUCUCUAUACAUCACUCACAUCGAGAAACAUUCAUUGUAGCCUAAAGGGAUAGUAGCAAUAGAUUUGGUUAGUCAGAUGCACCCUUUCUCCCAGUGGUAAAAAUAUAAAUACGAUAACUCUGGAUAACCUCCCGGGUGAAAUGCUCACCGAUAUCCGUGCGCUUGCGGAUCAUUUCCUUAUUGCGUUACCAAAUAUCAACAAGCAUUUCUGGCGCCGUUGCUGGGGAGAAAGACGGUUUGCUGAGAUAACUUUAAGUCUUGCUAUUAUCUUGUAUUAUACUUUUAUUAUUUUAUCUUUUUACUUUUAUCUUUAUGGAUAACUCAAAUUCCAUACCUUUUAUUGAAUUCUUUGCACCUUCGGAGACCAGCCAUAGACCAUGGGAGUCAACAAGUCAUGCCCCUAAUUAUGAUCUGUGUCCGGAGUUGAUUGCAAUAGGUCAAAACCAACCCUUUUCCAUAGCCGAGGUCCUAUCUUUUAAUCAAAAAGAUAAUGCACUUUUAGCUACACCUAGGGAAUCUAUUAAUCUUCCUAUCAAUUCUAGUUUAGACCUAGCCCUACAAGACCAUGUUUUUUCUCGAUAUUUUAACAUUGGUCUUAAUCAUAUAACCUUUGGUAGAGUCUUUCUUUCUUUAUCUAUUAGUAAAGGAAGGUAUGUCUUCAUUCGUGGACAUACUUCUUGCACUAGUAUUCAUAGAAAAAUCUUAGAGAUAGAGAAGGAAUCAUCUCCCAGACAAGGAAAGGAAGUUUCAAUAGCCAAUUUCCAAACAUUUCAAUCCCAUGAUUUGGCUAUCCAACCCAUCCUUGAGCUUAAUAAUUUCUACUAUGCUCUUUCUCUUGAACCUCCCGAUAAUCCUAUAAAUCUCUCUAGACAUCCCUUGCAUAAGAGUCACCAAGACCAUAAGGAGGAUCGAGAAGAGCAACAUCAACAGCUAGAGGGCAUUAAAAAUCUAUGUGCUAUCACCAUUGAAUGGAUAGAUAAAACAAACUUGAGAGACAAUCCUAGAGGAAUUUUAAGCAUUCAUGAAGAAUCAUCCUUGGAGUUUGAGAAUGAGAGAAACAACAGUGAUCAUGGAAGUUAUUUCAUAAAUACCUCACCAAGUUCUUGCUCGUAUAAAAUAUCUCCCCAAUCAAUUGGUCUCUCCAACAUCACCACAUUUGAGAUCUCCAACCCCCUCUUCUUUUCCAUUUAUAAAAAUCUUAAAAGGGCGGUUGUCGAUGCAUAUGUCUAUAAUAAAUAUUGCAAAUCUCGUGGAGUUGAUCUUGAUAUAGGUCAGUGUUGGAGGGGAAACCACUUCGCCGACAUAAUUUGAUGGUUUCCCAAGGACAAGCUUAGUGUCCUAAAACAAGCACUUAUCAGAUCGUAAUAUGAACUUUUAAUUAUUUCUAGCAUUGCCUUGUGUAUUGAGCAUAUAAAGAUGAUUGUAGAAAUAUUCCUUCGGGUAUUCUUGCCACUAACCUUUCCAGGAUUGGAGCAAGAAGAUCGGAUGAAUGACAAGCACAAGGUAUGUCCAACCAACCAUCACACAACAUUGAAUUAAAUUCAUCCAAACUUGAAUUUUGCAAAAUUCAAGCUUGGGGGAAAUACCUUACAUAAAAACAUCAUUUGCCAUGUUGCUAUGUUGGUUAUCCCUACCUUUGAGACAUGCUCAAUUUGUUAAAUACUAAUCACACUACUUCAUCUCCACUUGAGUAGAUCUCUAUAAAUGCCAUCAUGCUACCUUUGUUUAUCCUAGUAAGUGUUGGUUUGGAAGUACUCGACAUACUUCCAUUGGCAUUUAAAUUAAGCAUGGUGCUUAGGUUAAACAGCCUUCCUUAAUCUGAUUAGACAUGGAGUCUAGUUUGGUUAUUGAACUAAAAACUGCUUGUGUAGACAUUGGUAUAUUUUGUCAGACUAACCCCUGCAGAAAAACUUUCAAUAUCAAUUUGGGAAGUCCUGAGAUACAAACUCACAUUGGAGAUAAAGGAGACACAUGAAAUUUAACGACUUGCACAAGGAAGACAUAGCUCAUUCAUCAUAAAGAGAUGAUCCAUGGAGGGUGCCACAAACACGAUGCACAACCGCUAAGAAAGGAAAGCUUCCACAAGGUGAUACUAUACCAUCACUCUUCAAGUAAGGUAACACCUUAAGGUACUUGACUAUCGCUUUUAUAAGCUUCUCCUUGGUUCUGGCAUACACAUGAAUAAAAGAGACAAACAUGUAUGAUUUGUAGCUCCAAAUUAACCAACCAAAUUAAUUCAACAUGUUUAGUCCUUUAAUCUUUGUUCUUAGUACUACCUU